rnacentral:lncRNA from 1 species
CCAAGUUGUUACGGGGCACUUGAAUUGCUGUCAUGAUUUAAAAUUUCAACCCCAAUCAUGUCCAAAUCAAAAUCACAAUCAUGAUUGCGACCAUAUUAACUCUGCUUUGUAUUUGGAAAGGUCGUCGCAACUUGCAAGCAUAACUAUCAUCACAUUGUAAACACAACAACAGUUUAAAAGGAUUUGGAUUCACUGUAGCUCAUGCUCCUAAUUACAAGCAUUCUUAUCACAAGAUCAGUUUUUAGGCAUUCGUUCAUCUCAUGCUUGCUUUGAUGUUCGUUUUUGUCUGCUUUGAUUGCGUUUUUUAAAUUAAUGAUAUUAGGGUUUUGUGUUAAAGACUUAAAAAUUUCAUUUUUUAUGUUUAGUUACUAAAAAUGAUGAACAUUAGAGUAAGUAUGAACGAAAUUAGUGGGAGUCAAAUGAAGAAGACUUACAAUGACACUCAAUGUGAAAGGUGUUGAUUGAUUGGUCAUAACUCAAGAGGAUGUAUGAAGCAAGGUGUUGAUAUGAGACCAAAAAAUUGGAUUGAUACUGAGCCAAUGAAAAAAAUAUUGGAGGUGUUGCAUAAAAUGCUCGAAAUGUAUCACGAAAUGCAGAAAAUCUUGUGGUUGAAAAUGCUGGAGAUGUUGCAGAAAAUGCUGAAAAUGUUAAUCCUAUAAAUCUUGUUGCUGAAAAUGAUGGACAAGUUGCACAAAAUGCUGAAAAAUGUUGUUGCUAGAAAUUUUACAAUUCAGGGACAAAAUGUUGUCAAUGUUGUUGCAAAUGAAGUAUUGCUUGGACAUGUAUGACUGUUAAAUUUUAAGGAUCGAUUUGCUAGUAAGUGUAAUAAUUUAGGGACUGAUUUGAUUAAAUGUAUUAUUAUUUAGGGACAAAUAUGAUUGAAAAUGUUGUAGUAGGGUGUUCCUGCAAGGAGGUAUGACAUUAGAGGGUCAAUUAUUUCAAAUGAGAGGCCUACGCAAAAACCAGUGAGGGGUCCUGCACCAACACAUCCAACUGCUCCAGGCGUUAUUAGAGUACCAUAUCCAAAUUAUGAUCCAUCCGGUCCGACUCAACCUAAGUUCGUGGAGUUUAUCCCAACCCCCGAAUUUUCAAAGAAGUGAUACUUGAUGCAUGUUUAAAUUAUGAUUUUGGAAAUGUAAUAUUUCGACUUGUUUAAAUUAUGCCCCCUAGUUGGGUUUCUUUUUGGUUAUGUAAUAUUUAAGAACAUUCUUCUAUGACUUAUAUAACUUGUUAAUGACCCAUAAUUGGGUUGCUUUUGCAAUUGUAAUAUUUCAAACUUAAGGUGCAGAUAUUAAUGCACUAGUAUAGGGAGGUAUAACCCGAUGCAUAUUUGAUACAUGAAACUCCAGAGGCUUGCCUUGUUCUCAAGUGGAGGUUUCCAAGUUGAUGACCAUUUAGGGCCUGUUUGUUUCCAUGGAAUGAGCCACGACGUAAAGCAUAAAUAGGGAAAGUUUCUAAAUAUGUGUACCUUCCAUCGUUUGGUUUCUCUGACAGACAGGAAGGAAAGAUUGUUUAAGGCAUGUCCCAUGUAGAAAAGCUUGGAAUGAAGUUGUGAUCCAUUAAAAUGACAAAAGUGCCCUUGUAAAACUUCAUGUGCCCACUUACUUUUCCGCCAAAUAACAUUUCUCACACAAUACACUUUUGCAAUUUUUAACGUUUUGUCUUUAUGCUAGAUACUUAUUGUAUUAAUAUAAUUAAUAAUCACUAUAUUUACAUGUAUAAUACAUUUAAAAUAUCAAAAUCCAUUUAUAUAUAUAAAUAAUGGAAUAGGAUCAAAUGACAUCAUGGUGUCAAAAUUAGUUUGACACUAAAUCUUAUCCAUUCAUUUCAUUUAAUCCAAAGGCUUAAAACUAUCACCAAAUUAAUUAACAUACAUCAAAUACUCCCUAUCACCUAAUUAAGAAACAUAUCUAUCAUUAUUAAUUCAUAAUCAAACAAUACCUUCUUGUUUUUGGUAGAUUCAAACCCUUUUUAUUUUCCCCUAAUUUUUUUCUUUUGGCCAUAAACACAAACUCUAACUUUAUAAUUUUUAUAAAAUCAUGAUAAAUCUUAAUUCAGUUAAACAUGAGACACAACGAGUCCUCUAAAAAAAAUUAGACCUAUUAGUGACAAAAUAAUCUAAUUAGCAUGAACAAUUCAAAAAUCAUUUGUCGAGCUUGUUGGUUUUUUUUAAUACAAUUUAAUUAAUUAUUAAAAAAAUAUGAGUAUAUGAGAUAAAGAUAAAGAAAUAUCAUUGAUGGUGAUGAUGACUCAAACAACCAUAGGUAUAUGAGUUCAACCAUUCAUUUUAUAAAAAAAGUUUAGAAAAGAAGUUUGAGUAUGAUUAUAGAAAUCUGGGAAAAUUUAUAAAUUUGGGGAAAUAAAAAAGAGAAACAAAUAAAUUUGGGGAAAUAAAAAUGGAAUGUUUGAUUAUAAAUUAACGAUGAUAGAUAUUUUUCUUAAUUAGGUGAUAGAGAGUAUUUGGUGUAUAUUAAUUAAUUUGGUGAUAGUUUUAAGCCUUUGGAUUAAAUAAAAUGAGGGAUGAGAUUUGGUGUCAAACUAAUUUUGACACCAUGGUGUCAUUUGAUCCUAACCCAUAAAUAAUAUAUAACAUUUUAAUAUAGGGGUAUUAAUGAAAUUUUCUAAAUAUACACCUUUCUUUCUUUUCACUUUUACUCAUUCCAAACAACUAAAAAAUUAUCUCACUUUCCAUCAACUUUCUACUCACUUUCAUACAAUCUUUCCUUCUAUUUUCUUUCCUUAUACUUUCUUUUGUCAAUCAAACAUAGCCUUAGUGGCAUCUCUUAUGUUUUACUGAAGUCAUGAUUCCAAAGACACAACUGCUGUCUUAAUAUACAUAAAUUAUUAAAUAUCCAAUCCAAAGGUGUAAGUUGGCAUAGAGCGGUUAUGGUGCAUAAGAAAAUUCUUAUGCACCGUGCAUAAAUCCCAACAUAAUUGCUUCCUACACCCCCAAAGGAAACCAAACAAAAUAAAACAAAACGAACCAAACGCGGAAACAAACUGAAUCAUCACCAUCGUUCAUCAUCAUCACCACUGGAAUCUUCAAUCUCAUCAUCAACACCGCCGUUCAUCAUCAUCACCGUACCGGAAUGCCAAAACCAUUUUGUUGUGGAAAUGGUUUCUGUGAGUUGUACUCCAAACCCAUUUUGCUGUGGAAAUGGUUUCCAGAAUCUUCAAUCUCAUCAUCAACACUGUCGUUCAUCAUCAUCACCGUAUCGGAAUGCCAAAACCAUUUUGUUGUGGAAAUGGUUUCUGUGAGUUGUACUCCAAACCCAUUUUGUUGUGGAAAUGGUUUCCAGAAUCUUCAAUCUCAUCAUCAACAUCGUCGUUCAUCAUCAUCACCAUCAUCAUCACCGUACCGAAAUGCCAAAACCAUUUUGCUGUGGAAAACCAUUAGAUGUACUUAAUGGUUUCCAGCAGUUGUACUCCAAAACCAUUAGAUAUACUUAAUGGUUUCCAGCAAUUUCGCAGCCAUAAAUUCCAGCCCACGGGUGCGGAAAUUCGUGCAAUUAUGGUGAAAAUCACGAACCCGAAUCCACAGUUCCACCUCCAAACCCAGAACCAUCACAACCCACUUCAGAACUCCCCAGGAACACGAAGAAGAAGCUAGCGAGACAACAGAGAAGGGAAGCAAAGAAAGCAGAGAAGAAAGCGGCGGCGAAGAAGCAGAAGAAGAAGAAGGAAACCGAACGGAAACGAAAGGAAUGAGAACAAAGUUAAAACCUAGAUCUACACUGUUUGGUUGUUUAUCUUUGAAAACCGAGUCCGGAUUUGGAUUAUAGAAGGAAAAGGAAUUUUAAAAGUGAAUUUUUUUUUUUUGAAAUCGGAGCCAUUUCCUACUACUCUGGCGGCCGCGCCGAUGCCCUAGGGCGGCCGGCCACCGCGCCGAAGGUGUGUAAAAGAUGAAGCUUCAUCCCAGAUUGGUUUCUUAGAGAGAGAGUGAGAGAAAAUCUGUUUUUCAAAAGAGUAGAGAGAGAAAUGACAAACACAAAAUGAAAGAAAUUUGAUGGUUGUGAAGUGUUUAUGCACGGCGCAUAAGGAAAUGGCUUAUGCACCAUAACUUUUUCCAAGUUGGCAUAGAUAUACAUAAAUUAUUAAAUAAGUUGUUGGUCAAUAAAAAUAUAAUUAAUUUUGUUUUUAGUCCCCACAAAAAAAGGUUAAUUAAGUAAAUGAUUUUUAUAAAUAUUUAGAAUUUUGUUUUUAGUCCGUACAAAAUAAAAUCACACUAUUUAGUCUGUGACAUUUUCCUUUAGCAUUUUAGAGAAAAAAAAGUGUUGAUGGAAAUUUUUUAUAGAGACUCAAAAUAUUGAUGCAAAAUUUUACAGGGACUAAAAAGUACGAUUUUAUUUUAUAGGGACUAAAAAUAAAAUUCUAAAUAUUAAUAGGAACCAUUUAUUUAAUUAACCCUAAAAAAUGUGACAUAUUUUGGUUAGUAUAAAAAUUUUCAUCACGUAAUCUUAGUCCCUGUUAAAUUAAAAAUUGUUUAAUUAUGUUUAAAAUUUAAAAUUUUUGAAUGAUAUUUUACAAAAUUGUUUAAAAUAUUAUUAAAAGUUCAUCCGCAAAAAAUUAGCUCAAAAUUUGAUUUUUAAGUCCAAAUUUUUGUUAGUUUUAUCUUGAAAUUUUGCUGUUUAAAUAAAGUCAUGUUUGAUUCAUUAGAUGUUAAAAAAAUUUAAUUUUAUAAAAGAGUUUUUUAUAAUGUUCUUAACAUGUCUAUAAAAAAUCAUUUAAAAAUUUAAAAUUUUAAUCAUAAUUAAAUAAAUUUUAGGUUAACAGGAACUAAAACUAUGUGUUAAAAAUUUUUAUAGGGAUUAAAACGUGUUACUUUUUUCUUUAUGAGGACUAAAAAUUAAAUUCUCUAUAUUUAUAAGGACUAAAAACUUAUUUAACUCAAUAACUAACACAUACCUUUUAUACCAAAAACUUCAAGAGGAGUUACAUGGCUUAUACUUUGUUGAACACUUCUUUCUAUAUGCACAACAAAGAUGUUUCUUUUAUCAAAAGACGUAGUUUGGCUUCAAAGUAUGUAAACAUCUGAGACAUGGCUUAUUUAACCCAACAUUUGUUAGCUUAUGAUGAUGAUUCUACCACUCAAAUUUCUCUAGUGUUUAUGAAUGUUAUGUUGUACCCUCAUUGGACAAUUAUUCCUAUGACUAAAACACUAUUAUUUCUUGUUUGGAAUCGUUUCCUUUCUUUAUAAUGAAAGGA